CAGUCGCCGCGGGAAUACGAAGGGUGCUAGCGUUGCUCGGAAUGACUGGGCGUAAAGCGUGCGCAGGCGGUUCGUUAAGACAGAUGUGAAAUCCCCGGGCUUAACCUGGGAACUGCAUUUGUGACUGGCGAGCUAGAGUAUGGCAGAGGGGGGUAGAAUUCCACGUGUAGCAGUGAAAUGCGCAGAGAUGUGGAGGAAUACCGAUGGCGAAGGCAGCCCCCUGGGCCAAUACUGACGCUCAUGCACGAAAGCGUGGGGAGCAAACAGGAUUAGAUACCCCGGUAGUCCCUGUCUCUUAUAC
rnacentral:rRNA from 1 species